rnacentral:rRNA from 1 species
UACGGAGGGUGCAAGCGUUAUCCGGAUUCACUGGGUUUAAAGGGUGCGUAGGUGGGUUAGUAAGUCAGUGGUGAAAUCUUCGAGCUUAACUCGGAAACUGCCAUUGAUACUAUUAGUCUUGAAUAUUGUGGAGGUUAGCGGAAUAUGUCAUGUAGCGGUGAAAUGCUUAGAUAUGACAUAGAACACCAAUUGCGAAGGCAGCUGGCUACACGAAUAUUGACACUGAUGCACGAAAGCGUGGGGAUCAAACAGG